rnacentral:rRNA from 1 species
AAAAACAUCGCCUCUUGAUUAAUUAUAAGAGGUCCAGCCUGCCCAGUGACAAAAUUCAACGGCCGCGGUACACUAACCGUGCGAAGGUAGCAUAAUCACUUGUUCCUUAAAUAGGGACUAGUAUCAACGGCAUCACGAGGGUUAUACUGUCUCCUCUCUCCAAUCAGUGAAACUGAUCCCCCCGUGAAGAAGCGGGGAUUUAACUAUAAGACGAGAAGACCCCAUGGAGCUUUAAACCCAACAUACACCCCCCACCCAAACACCAACUUAACUUAAAGGGCCUGUAUGUUGGCUUUAGGCUGGGGGGGCCACGGAGUAAAAUUAAACCUCCACAACAAAUGGGCUAACACCCUUAUCCAUGAUUUUACAAAUCUAAGAAUUACCAAAAUAAUGUUUAAUGACCCGAUAAUUCGAUCAAUGAACCAAGUUACCCUGGGGAUAACAGCGCAAUCUACUUCAAGAGCUCUUAUCGACAAGUAGGUUUACGACCUCGAUGUUGGAUCAGGGUAUCCUAGUGGUGCAACCGCUACUAACGGUUCGUUUGUUCAACGAUUAAAACCCU